AACCUGGUUGAUCCCUGCCAGUAGUCAUAUGCUUGUCUCAAAGAUUAAGCCAUGCAUGUGUAAGUAUAAGUAUUGUACAGCGAGACUGCGAAUGGCUCAUUAAACCAGUUAUAGUUUAUUUGAUACUUGAAAGUUACAUGGAUAACCGUGGCAAUUCUACAGCUAAUACAUGCUUCAAAACCCGACUCUUCGGAAGGGUUGUAUUUAUUAGAUAUUAAGCCAUCCCUUCGGGGCUGUGAUGAAUCAUAAUAACUGAUCGAAUCGAGGCUUGCCUUGAUAAAUCAUUCAAGUUUCUGCCCUAUCAGCUUUAGAUGGUAGUGUAUUGGACUACCAUGGCUAUCACGGGUAACGGAGAAUUAGGGUUCGAUUCCGGAGAGGGAGCCUGAGAAACGGCUACCACAUCCAAGGAUGGCAGCAGGCGCGAAAAUUGCCCAAUCCCGAUUCGGGGAGGCAGUGACAAGAAAUAACAACCCAGGACUAGUUCCAGGGAUUGCAAUGAGAACAACUUAAAAACCUUAUCGAGCAACAACUGGAGGGCAAGUUCUGGUGCCAGCAGCCGCGGUAAUUCCAGCUCCAGUAGCGUAUAUUAAAGUUGCUGCAGUUAAAAAGCUCGUAGUUGAAUUUCUGCUUGUUAGAGUCAAGUCCUUACGGACGAGAUUUCUUCGAGCAUCUGUUUGCAAUCAUAUGUUCGGUCUUCAUUGAUUGACUAUGCGAGCAAACGUUUUACCUUGAGAAAAUUAGAGUGUUCUAGGCAGGCUUCAGCCGGAAUACAUUAGCAUGGAAUAAUGGAAUAGGACUGGGGACUAUUUUUGGUUUAAGGCUCCAGUAAUGAUUAAUAGGAACAGUCGGGGGCAUUAGUACUUGACAGUCAGAGGUGAAAUUCUUGGAUUUGUCAAAGACUAACUAAUGCGAAAGCAUUUGCCAAGCAUGUUUUCAUUAAUCAAGAACGAAAGUUAGGGGAUCAAAGACGAUUAGAUACCGUCCUAGUCUUAACUGUAAACGAUUCCAUCUUGGAAUUGGGUGGAUAUAUUAUGAUUCAUCCAGCGCCAUAAGAGAAAUCAAAGUCUUUGGGUUCUUGGUGGAGUACGAUCGCAAGAUUGAAACUUAAAGGAAUUGACGGUUUUGCACACCAUGGAGUGGAGCCUGUGGCUUAAUUUGACUCAACACUGGGAAACUCAUCAGGACAAAAAAGUUUUAGGAUUGACAGAUUGAUAGCUCUUUCUUGAUUGACUUAAUGGUGGUGCAUGGCCGUUCUUAGUUGGUGGAGUGAUUUGUCUGGUUAAUUCCGUUAACGAACGAGACCUCAACCUACUAACUAGUACGACGUGAACAACGUUAGUUACUUCUUAGAGGGACAAUGUGUGUUAACACAAGGAAGUUUGAGGCAAUAACAGGUCUGUGAUGCCCUUAGAUGUCCUGAGCCGCACACGCGCUACAAUGACACUUUCAAUAAGCAUCUGCUGGCCCGAAAGGGUUCAGGCUAAUCUUUUUAGUAAGUGUCGUGCUAGGGAUAGAUCUUUGCAAUUAUGGAUCUUGAACGAGGAAUUCCUAGUAAGCACAAGUCAUCAGCUUGUGCUGAUUACGUCCCUGCAAAAUGUACACAUCGCCCGUCGCUUGCUCCGAUUGAAUAAUCUGGUGAGCCUUCUUGACUGAGUGGGCAACCACGAAGGAUAUUAAGCAAACCAUAUUAUUUAGAGGAUGAAGAAGUCGUAACAAAGUUUCCGUAGGUGAACCUGCAGAAGGAUCA
rnacentral:rRNA from 1 species